rnacentral:rRNA from 1 species
AUUGAACGCUGGCGGCAGGCCUAACACAUGCAAGUCGAGCGGAUGAAGGGAGCUUGCUCCUGGAUUCAGGGCGGACGGGUGAGUAAUGCCUAGGAAUCUGCCUGGUAGUGGGGGAUAACGUCCGGAAACGGGCGCUAAUACCGCAUACGUCCUGAGGGAGAAAGUGGGGGAUCUUCGGACCUCACGCUCUCAGAUGAGCCUAGGUCGGAUUAGCUAGUUGGUGGGGUAAAGGCCUACCAAGGCGACGAUCCGUAACUGGUCUGAGAGGAUGAUCAGUCACACUGGAACUGAGACACGGUCCAGACUCCUACGGGAGGCAGCAGUGGGGAAUAUUGGACAAUGGGCGAAAGCCUGAUCCAGCCAUGCCGCGUGUGUGAAGAAGGUCUUCGGAUUGUAAAGCACUUUAAGUUGGGAGGAAGGGCAGUAAGUUAAUACCUUGCUGUUUUGACGUUACCAACAGAAUAAGCACCGGCUAACUUCGUG